AUCAAGUUACAUAAACUCUUUGGAAGUAGGAAGCAACUUAUGAUAUAUGUGGGAAUGGAUUGGACCACAACUUAGAUAAGGUGCUAUGCUCCACAAAGGAUAGGUUCUUCUAUAUCCACCUUCUAAGUUUUUUCCAUAUAUUAUCCUGCAAAAAAUCAAAUAGAGGUUUUUUUAGAUCUACCAAAUAUAGUAGGUAAACCCACGCUUCAUGGGAAGCCAAUUGUGGCACAACUCUGUUGUCGUCAGUGAAAUUCUCUGUCAUUUGUCCUGCAAAAUAGAAGAAGACUAUCAUCAGCAAAGAAACUUCAAAGGUACCACUCUGAGCUCCAAGGACAAAAUAUUAUUCGAGAACUUAAUUUCUGCUAUCAAUCUUGAUCUAAUUCAAAUUAAUUCUCAAUAAGUUAUUCAAUUUUAAACUUUUUUUUCACUUGUCAAAUUACUUUUUUAUAUCAGACGAAUUUUAUUUGUCAUACGAUGCAGUAUUUCCAAUGAAAUAUAAACACAUGUGGAUACUCUUUUUAAUAUAAGAUUAAUCAAAGAGCAAAAGUGAAUUUUAUUUA